UACGUAGGGUGCGAGCGUUGUCCGGAAUUAUUGGGCGUAAAGAGCUUGUAGGCGGUUUGUCGCGUCUGCCGUGAAAAUUCGAGGCUCAACCUCGAACUUGCGGUGGGUACGGGCAGACUAGAGUGUGGUAGGGGAGACUGGAAUUCCUGGUGUAGCGGUGAAAUGCGCAGAUAUCAGGAGGAACACCGGUGGCGAAGGCGGCUCGCUGGGCCGGUCCUGACGCUGAGACGCGAAGGCGUGGGGAGCG
rnacentral:rRNA from 1 species